rnacentral:rRNA from 1 species
UACAGAGGGUGCAAGCGUUGUUCGGAAUUAUUGGGCGUAAAGCGCUUGUAGGCGGCCUGUUAAGUCGCGUGUGAAAUCCCUAGGCUUAACCUAGGAAGUGCGCGCGAAACUGAUGGGCUUGAGUGCUGGAGAGGGUCGCGGAAUUCCCGGUGUAGAGGUGAAAUUCGUAGAUAUCGGGAGGAACACCAGUGGCGAAGGCGGCGACCUGGACAGACACUGACGCUGAGACGCGAAAGCUGGGGGAGCGAACGGG